UCAAGACCGAAGACCGUUCACUUCAUCAACAUCACUACUGCAUACAUACAUGCGUUAUUCAUCAACACACGUAUGUUAUAUAAUAUACACUUCAAUCGCUACUAGCCGCCUCCAUCGCCGUCUUCUCUCAUCGUCUCUUCUCAAAACUAGCCAUUUUCAUCGUCACUCGUCCAUGGCGACGCUACCGCACGUUCACGUUCCGCAGCAGCCAGUGGAUAAACCAUUCGUAUCCGUUGUAUUGCGUCGUUUGUCUGCAAGAGGCAGAGGAAGGAGAUAAGAUGAGGAGGCUGACGAUUUGUGGCCACUGCUUCCACGCGGAUUGUAUCGAUCCAUGGCUUGGUGAAAUAUCUUCGACGUGUCCAUUGUGUAGAGCUGAGGUUCCGCCUUCACCGCCGGUGAAUCCUCUGCUCUUACUGUUUGUUUCCGCCAACAAAGAACUCUAACCAAACACCAUUUCUUGUAAGAAAAAAAUUUGUUACCAGACCUCAGAUUUUGUUCUUGUUUUUUUAUCUUUGAUACUAUUUUGCAUUAA